UGCAUGCAAUAUAAAAAAUGGUCUUGAAUAGUUUGCAUUAAUUAUUCAGCUUUUGAAUAUGAUCAUUGUUCAUCAUCAUCCUCAUAACGAGAAUAGUUCUGCCACAGGUUGGUAUAUUUAUUCCCCCAUGUUCAGGCUGCUGUAAUUCUCUUAUUUAUCUUGAUGAUGUCUGCUCUGAGACCGAUGUUUAUGGAUGUGGAAAACUGAACUGAGUGUCUCUAGGAAGAACAGAUGAGGACACAGACACAUGUAGAGGGAAGGCCAUGUGAAGAAACAGGAAGAAGGUGGUCUUCUACAAGCCCAGGAGAGAGUCCUUAGAAGAAAUUAUUUCUACUGACACCCUGGCCUCAAACUUCUAGCUUCUAGACUUGUGAGAAAAAUAAAUUUCUGUUGUUUAAAUAC